CACGUAGGGGGCAAGCGUUGUCCGGAUUUAUUGGGCGUAAAGAGCUCGUAGGCGGCUUGGUAAGUCAGGUGUGAAACCUCCAGGCUCAACCUGGAGACGCCACUUGAUACUGCCAUAGCUAGAGUCCGGUAGGGGAGCGUGGAAUUUCUGGUGUAGCGGUGAAAUGCGCAGAUAUCAGAAGGAACACCAGCGGCGAAGGCGGCGCUCUGGGCCGGAACUGACGCUGAGGAGCGAAAGCGUGGGUAGCAAACAGG
rnacentral:rRNA from 1 species